rnacentral:pre_miRNA from 1 species
UACGUACUUCCUCCGUCCGAAAAUACUUGUCAUCAAUUUUAGUUCUAGAUACAUCCAUUUUUGUCUAUUUUGAUGACAAGUAUUUUCGGACGGAGGGAGUACUAU